AACGAACGCUGGCGGCAGGCUUAACACAUGCAAGUCGAGCGCCCCGCAAGGGGAGCGGCAGACGGGUGAGUAACGCGUGGGAAUCUACCCAUCUCUACGGAAUAACGCAUGGAAACGUGUGCUAAUACCGUAUACGUCCUUCGGGAGAAAGAUUUAUCGGAGAUGGAUGAGCCCGCGGUGGAUUAGCUAGUUGGUGGGGUAAAGGCCUACCAAGGCGACGAUCCAUAGCUGGUCUGAGAGGAUGAUCAGCCACACUGGGACUGAGCGACGGCCCAGACUCCUACGGGAGGCAGCAGUGCGGAAUAUUGGACAAUGGGCGCAAGCCUGAUCCAGCCAUGCCGCGUGAGUGAUGAAGGCCCUAGGGUUGUAAAGCUCUUUCACCGGUGAAGAUAAUGACGGUAACCGGAGAAGAAGCCCCGGCUAACUUCGUGCCAGCAGCCGCGGUAACAC
rnacentral:rRNA from 1 species